rnacentral:rRNA from 1 species
GGCUAUUUCGUUUGUCUGGAUAUCUGGUUUUCUUGGAAAUGAAUUUAGUUCAGGUCAUGGGGCUUGCUUUAAUUAUUAUUUGUGAUUGUGGAGUGUUUUUUGGCUUAGUGCUAUAGGGGUAAGCUUGUAGCAUUAUCCUAGAACUUUUUUGGGAUUUUUGCUUCUUUAGGCUUUGGAUCUGUCUUAGGUUGUUAGUUCGUUGUAGAUAAUUCUUUGUGAACAAUGAUGAAGUUUAGGUUUUUUACGAGGACUUUUCUUGUAAUUUUCUUUUUUUGUGAUUAUGCUUUAAUUAGUAGAGUGUUGUUGUUUAAAGUUUGUUGUUGUGUUUGUUGAUUGGGAAGUGCGGUUAGUCAUCGUGAAGGAACUCGGCAAAUGUGGUUUCUGCCUGUUUAACAAAAACAUGGCCUUUUGUGGAUAUAUAAGGUCGGGCCUGCCCGCUGUUUAGAUGAAGGGCUGCGGUAUACUUGACCGUACAAAGGUAGCAUAAUGGUUUGCCUAUUAAUUGUUGGCUUGUAUGAAUGGCUUGACAAGAGAUCGACUGUCUCUGUGGUGAUAUAUUGAAUUUUACUUUCUGGUGAGGAGGCUAGAAUUUUGCCAAGGGACGAGAAGACCCUGUAGAUUUUUAAUUUCCUGCUUUGUUGGGGUUAGUAUGUUUGAUCUUGAGUUUAAAGAUUUGUUGGGAUGUUUUAGCUGGGGCGGCUGUGAGAGAGACUGAUCUCUUAUUUGUGUUUGGCAUUUGUGGAUGUUGUGAUCCUUUAUUAUGGAUAUAAGAAAAAAUACCUCAGGGAUMACAGCGUGAUUUCUUUUGAGAGUUCGUAUCGAUAGAGAA